rnacentral:lncRNA from 1 species
CCACGUCAGUGUGCGUGAACUCCCGCGGCAGUGUGCGUGACCGCGUGGCGGCAGUGUACGUGGCCUACUGGCGGGAAUGUGCGUGACCUCCAGGCCCUUUACCUUUGCCUGUGACCUCCCGGCCCUUUACCUUUGCCUGUAACUUUCCCAGAUUGCUUGAGCCCUGUGCACAAACAUUCGUAGCAACUGUAUUUUUAAUGGCCAGAGAUGAGACACAGUCCAGUGCCCAUCCGCUGGGGAAUGGACGAAUGUAUCGUGGGACACCUGCAUGAGAAAUUCACUCAGCAAAUGAGAAAGAACAGCUGACAGCAAAACGGCACAGGUGAACCUGGAAGCAAGAUGACCCCAAAGCCUCCUGAGCAGUCAGCGAAGACGCUGGAAGGAUCCCCGAACCGUCAUUAUUUACCUCCAUUGACUGAAGCACAUUUAAAAGUUGGUUUACACUUUCCACUCCAUAUCAUUUAAUAAUGUCAUAUUGAACUGUUUCCCCAAGCAAUAAAAAAUAAAUCCUUUAAUGCUAUAGACAAAGUAUAAUAGCACUCAAUAGAAAGAAAAGAAAUUUGAAGGGCUUAGAUUUCUUACUCUCCAAUUGGAAAAGUAAGAAUUUUGGGGAAAAAACACUUUUGCCUAGAAAAGCAUAUUCCAUAGAGGACAGAUGGAAAGGAUAUUUGUGUUUAAUUUAAAUGUUCUGCAAAAGUUCACUCUUCCAGCACCACGGCAACACCCGCAGGUCUCUGACAAGUGACAAGAACACUUUAUGCUGAAUCCUCAGCAGGAUCUGAGACCUAUUAGGGAUUUUGAAUCCAUCUGGAGCUCGAGGAAUCUCUGAAAUGAGGCAAACCAGGGAAGGGCUCUGAGGAGACUUCCACACACUCCUCCAAUCACACAUGCAGCCCAAAU